CCUACGGGUGGCAGCAGUGGGGAAUUUUGGACAAUGGGCGCAAGCCUGAUCCAGCUAUUCCGCGUGUGGGAAGACGGCCUUCGGGUUGUAAACCACUUUUGUAGAGAACGAAAAGUCUAUUGAUAAUACCGAUAGAUGAUGACGGUACUCUAAGAAUAAGCACCGGCUAACUACGUGCCAGCAGCCGCGGUAAUACGUAGGGUGCGAGCGUUAAUCGGAAUUACUGGGCGUAAAGGGUGUGCAGGCGGUUUUGCAAGAUGGAUGUGAAAGCCCCGGGCUUAAACGGGGAAAGCCAGACAUGACUGCCAGACUAGAGUGCAUCAGAGGGGGGUGGAAUUCCAAGUGUAGCAGUGAAAUGCGUAGAUAUUUGGAAGAACACCGAUGGCGAAGGCAGCCCCCUGGGACGCAACUGACGCUCAUGCACGAAAGCGUGGGGAGCAAACAGGAUUAGAUACCCGGGUAGUC
rnacentral:rRNA from 1 species